rfam:Neocallimastix californiae strain G1 LY90scaffold_129, whole genome shotgun sequence.
GCCAUGUUAAUCCAGUUGGUUAGAAUAAUACAUAUUACUGUAGAUGCCGGGGUUCAAAUCCCGGAUAUGGCA